rnacentral:rRNA from 1 species
CAUGCCGCGUGUGUGAAGAAGGUCUUCGGAUUGUAAAGCACUUUAAGUUGGGAGGAAGGUCUGAUGCCUAAUACGUAUCAGUCUUGACGUUACCGACAGAAUAAGCACCGGCUAACUCUGUGCCAGCCACUUCGGUGACUGAGCGGGCUGGCAAGGCGCAUA